GACGAACGCUGGCGGCGUGCCUAAUACAUGCAAGUAGAACGCUGAAGGAGGAGCUUGCUUCUCUGGAUGAGUUGCGAACGGGUGAGUAACGCGUAGGUAACCUGCCUGGUAGCGGGGGAUAACUAUUGGAAACGAUAGCUAAUACCGCAUAAUAGUAGAUGUUGCAUGACAUUUGCUUAAAAGGUGCAAUUGCAUCACUACCAGAUGGACCUGCGUUGUAUUAGCUAGUUGGUGGGGUAACGGCUCACCAAGGCGACGAUACAUAGCCGACCUGGGAGGGUGAUCGGCCACACUGGGACUGAGACACGGCCCAGACUCCUACAGGAGGCAGCAGUAGGGAAUCUUCGGCAAUGGACGGAAGUCUGACCGAGCAACGCCGCGUGAGUGAAGAAGGUUUUCGGGUCGUAAAGCUCUGUUGUAAGAGAAGAACGAGUGUGAGAGUGGAAAGUUCACACUGUGACGGUAUCUUACCAGAAAGGGACGGCUAACUACGUG
rnacentral:rRNA from 1 species